UGAACCCCGACCCUGAUGAACGUGAGAUGGCCGCCGUGUGGUAAACUGAUGAACCCCGACCCUGAUCAACGUGAGAUGACCGCCGUGUGGUAAACUGAUGAACCCCGACCCUGAUCAACGUGAGAUGACCGCCGUGUGGUAAACUGAUGAACCCCGACCCUGAUCAACGUGAGAUGGCCGCCGUGUGGUAAACUGAUGAACCCCGACCCUGAUGAACGUGAGAUGGCCGCCGUGUGGUAAACUGAUGAACCCCGACCCUGAUCAACAUGAGAUGACCGCCGUGUGGUAAACUGAUGAACCCCGACCCUGAUGAACAUGAGAUGGCUGCCGUGUGGUAAACUGAUGAACCCCGACCCUGAUGAACAUGAGAUGACCGCCGUGUGGUAAACUGAUGAACCCCGACCCUGAUGAACAUGAGAUGGCCGCCGUGUGGUAAACUGAUGAACCCCGACCCUGAUGAACGUGAGAUGGCCGCCGUGUGGUAAACUGAUGAACCCCGACCCUGAUCAACAUGAGAUGACUGCCGUGUGGUAAACUGAUGAACCCCGACACUGAUCAACAUGAGAUGGCCGCUGUGUGGUAAACUGAUGAACCCUGGCCCAUUAGGCUUUGGCUACAGAAUGUGGAAAUAAGUUGUGUUACUACAUGUGUGUAAUCCUAGGGUUCAGGACACAGGCUGGGAGGUUCCAUAGAGUGAUGGGUUGUGCAGGUAACUCAUCCUCUAGUCCUCUGUAAGCUCCUAGAAGGAAGAAAUUAUGUCCUUUAGACUAAUAAAAUUCCUCCAAACCAAAUACAGCACCUACUGUGAAGACACAAAGAUACUUUUAGAAUAGUAAAAACUUUAUCCAUUGAGAAAUUCCUUAAUGAAACAGUAUCCAAGAAGUCAUUUGCCAGCAGAUUUCUUAGAGGUGCGAUAAAGAAGAGGACAUUGCCAGUCGUCACAGCAGCUGCAAUAGCUCCUCUCUAUUGUUAAACAGUGGGAUAUCUUGUACAGGUUUUCAGUUGACAAUCAAUUUUAAAGAUUAGUUUCAGUCCCCAUCAAUCAAUUAUUUAUUAACCCAUCAAUAAAAAUUUAAAUGCUCUGUGAGGUACAAUAGCUAUUAAAAGAGACAGAGGCACUUUCUGUGUCCAGAGGGGCUUUUAGUCUGCUCUGGAAAGCAAGAUGUGUGCAGAUGAGUGAUGCAGUGCAUCGUGUGGAUGCAAAGGGAGGGACUCACAUGGGAACCAGAGGAGCUAUGAAGGGAGGCAGCGGGGACUGGUGGGUCGAGACCUGGAAAUAACACAUGAAUAGGCAACAAAGGUUUCCGUUCCUCUUCCAUGCACUUCAGUCCUUGAAAAAUGUCUUACCACAGAAUUCCACAGCGUACCAAGCGAUUCCACAGCUUGAUGGCACACUGUCCUUUCUCAGCAUUCUUGAAAAUGGCAUGUGAGCCAAGCCAUCUUACUGAGAAAUUACCUUAAACCAUUUGAUGAACCAAAAAUAUUUUGUAAUACCCAUCUCUGACAUUAGAGGACGCCCUCCUCCUGUGGUUUGCAGCCCCGGCCUUCUCUUCGAGGACGCCUCUGCUCUUCUGCCUCACACUCGGAUUGUACCUUCUUCAGCACAGCCAGUGGCCGAGGCUUCCUCCCUGGGGCUCAGUGGAGCAGGACAGAUGCUGCAUCCAAACUCUUCCAUUGGGUUCCAGUCUGUUCCAGUCAUGCCCUUGAGACUCUAAAGCUCCUAGGUAAGAGACGUAGCAGCUGACAGCACUUCCCACUCGAUUUGGGUGGACUCCAGCCUCCCCAGCAACAAUAAGAGAUCAAAGGCAUCGUCGAGGAAGCAGCUUGCUGAAACGCUGAGUGCCCGCCACUCUCAGGUCAGGUGGGACCAGCAGGCCAGCGUGAGUUCCUGAACACUUGGUUCUCAAUACUGGCCACAGCCACACUGUAAGGGGAAACAAGAGGGCACUGUAUGCAAACAUCUCUUGAACUCUGGAGUCUGCUCACCUUCCUGCCUCAAGCCCCUCUCCCACGUGGUCCAGUCACCAUUCUCCACAGAGACUACCCUAAAACCCAGCGACUCUCGUGUGCCUGCAGAAUGGCGCAGCCCGUUCUCAUAGCAGCACUCCUGUUUAAUCAGAGGGAUGUUAACGACCAAGUCAUAUUUGCUCGAUUUGUGUUCAAUAUAUUUCAUUUCUACUGAUAAAACUUAAAAAUAUCCCCACACAUGCAUUGCCUGUUAAAGAGUAUCUUCCAGGUACACCUCCCUUACACAUCAGUUAACUUGAUAAUUUCUUCCCAUUCUUGUACAAUAAAUUUCCUUCCUGAUCAGCUCUGUCCAGCAGCAACAACAAUCCACGUAGAGACAUGCAAACUAAAAGUCCGUUAGUGGAGGCACGAAGCUGAUGAGGCUUGGAAAAAAAUGACCGAUUUGAUUAAAAUUAGGACCCAUGGGAGUGGAGCUCUGCCUAUUUUAGAGGCAAAGUAAAUGCCUGGGAGUCCAAUCACCGACAUUCUGUUUGAGGUUUCUAAUCACAAGGAAGAUGGAGAAAAUGCAGAACAAGUGGUCAAGAACAGGGAGAUAAUAAAUAGAAUAUUUAUGGGCUGAGGAAAACAAUUACCAGGGGAAAGCCCAAGAAGCAAAGAUGAACAGAGAACGUGCUGACUGCGCUCGUUUGGAAAGGCCUCAUGGCCAAAGGAGGAGAGGCAUUAUGAGGAGCAGUGACCGAGUGGGCAGGACCCCCGGGGAUCAGGAAAGGUGCACGGGGGGAGAUGAGAGGCCUGAGCGGCUUCCCAGCGAAGGUUUUUGAAGCACGGUUUGAUUUUCUCUCUCCCCCUCACCAUCCCCAGAUUUUAGUUGUGACUAUCUCCAGGUACAUGGCUUGCGACAGGCGGUGUAUAAAAACUAAUGUGAGUUUAAUUUUAAAACCUUAGCCAUUUUCUGGAACUUAAAUAUCAAAGAGAAAAUGUCCACAUAUGAUGUUAAUUGAGGUUUGUCUCACUGGUGAUUUGUGCUGAUUCAAUUCCUGUUUCUUUUUUUUUUUCUUAAGGGGUCAGUUUUAGAAUUGGGAGAUAGGUGUAUAACAUAUGACUAUACAGCGCAGGUUGGUUUUUUAACAUAGAAAUAUCUGCCUUUAAAUGAGAACUGAAAACGGAGCUUCUUGGAGGCCACCUGCUGGUGGCAGUGAUCUGACCGCUGUUUAAGCUUUCUUUGAACUCCUUUUUGUAAAACAGCCUCCAUAAUCAAUGGUGUACGAUCUACUCUCUGGUGGUAAAACUUACUCAGUGAAGAGUGUGUUUUAUUUUCUGAGGAGCUGAACUGUUCCAACCUGAGUAUUCUGAAUAAGGACAGUGGUCGAGCAUGAGUGAUGCCAUCUGGGCUUAGAAAUAAGUGGGCCUAAAAUCUGAUUGUUUUCAUACAUUGUUCAGAUAUUGACUUAAAUAGCAAUUUAUUUUUUAAAAAAUGAUUGGUAUCCGGAACUUGCAACAGCUGUGUGUGGCUUGAAGGGAGAAGAAGUGGUGAAGGCCUGGUUUCCACCGAAGCUCUCACAGCCCAGCCUUUCACUGUGUGGCCGGGGGAAGGGUGCUCCGGGUGGGGGACGGGAAUGGUGGGACUGGGGAUGCCACGGGACAAGGCUGCUGGCCUGGAAGGUGGUCCCGUGGAGAACCGCAGGAGAUGAGAUUGGAAAGUAGUAAUAAGCCAUGUGGAUAAGAACAGAGGAGCGGGUUUUAAGGGGGACGUCCUGAAAUGCUGCUCAUGUCGUUUCAGUUCCAUAGACCACAGGAAAUGCAGGUGAGAGGGCAGCCCGGUGGGAAGGAAGGAAGAGGGUGGUGGUGAGCCAGGUGAGUGUGGAGCCGCCCAGGGCACCGUGCUGUGCUAUAGCUCAGGCAUCGGGUGCUUCUGCCAAACCCUUCAGCACCUGGUUUGGGGCCAACUUCCUUCCUGUGUGAGAGAAGGCAGAGCCUAGGCAGCAUUCCAAACCCCAUCCAGAUGGGAGGCUGAGUGCAGAGCAAACGGAGCCCAGCACUCCAGAGCCGUGUCCCUUCACUGCCACGAUCACAUCACAAACAGCGAGGCUUGGAGAGGACUUGAGAGCUCCUUCAAUGCCAUCUUCCAUCCACUGCGUGAGCCAGAAUAGAAAAAAAGGAAUAAGAAGAGGUCGGUUAAGUUCUCUAUUAAGUUGAGAAAAUGGGAACUUCAGGUGAUCAUGUGAGAUAUUCAAGUUAAAAAAAUUAUUUAAAAAGCACAUUCUUAUUAUUAAAAUUUUAGAAAGUACAGAGAAAGAAAUUUUAAUAACCUACAUCUAGAACACUAAGAUACCGGUAACUUAGAAAAAUGUGUAGUUAAUGCCCUGAUGGAUUCUUUUCUAUUUUUUUCUCUAGCAAUAUUUAUGUCUAUCCACAGAAAGCAUACACUCAUGUAUUUGCAUGGCUAAUAUAUUUUAUGUAAAGUUCUAUAUAUUUCUCAACAUUUCACUUAAUAUUUCUUUAUAAACAUUUUUCCAGUGGAU
rnacentral:lncRNA from 1 species